AAAGAAAAUUAAACACUAAUUUACAUAAAGUUUAACCUAAUUAGCAAGGAGACUCCUCGACCCAGUGAAGGAAGCCCAACCCCAUAGCUACAGGGGAGCCUGCACCCAGCGAUAGGAUGAUGUCGCCCCGUGAGGAUGCUGUUAGGGGCCAUCCAUUUGCUUCUUCUAGGAGUGGCGCUCAGUGUCAAGAAUGACGCCUUAUGAGCGUGAUCGUUGCCCAGGAGACCCACACAUGUUAUUUUGCAUUUUCUUUGAUUAAAGUUUUGUUUGACAUGUUUGGGGCUGCUGGGUAGACUAAUUUUGGCUAUGGAGGUGUUGAAAGGCUAUUAUGAGUUGGCACUGCAAAAACAGUGGAAGAAUAGAGAUGUGCUCUUGAAACUUUUCAACGCCUAGAGAUUUGUUUGGGCAAAAGCAGUUUGGCAUCAUCAAAAGAACAACCAGCUCUGCUUAAUUUAAUACAGUGGCAACAAUAGUAUAUCUAGUUUUGUUAGUAACCUCUUUUGGUGGAGCAUCUGAAUUUUCAAGCUUGAAGAGGUGCCAAGUGGUGCAAAGUGGGAACCUUCGUGUAUAUUAAAAUUCUGAUGCACAGGAACUUGCCAUUGGUCCAAUAUAGCACAUAAAAGUGGUUGUGUGCCUUGAUAAGAAUUAUUGGCAAAGUUAAAUUACCAUUUGAUUAUGAUAUACAUACAUACUAUUUUGAUUUUUUUUUUCAUGAUCA